GCGUGUUCCAGAUGGUGUCCUUGCCAGAUGGGAAGAACACCCUGACCCACAUCAGAUGUCACGUGAGCAAGAAAUGAGCCUUUAUUGUGAUGAGGAAACUGAGGCUCAGAGCACGGAAGCCACUUGAAUCUGGUUACAUCCAGGACUCAUAACCACCUGGCACACACAGGAGCCAUGCCCAGAACAAGCGGGGACAGUCCUGCUGCCCCCUGCACACACCAGCCUCCCUGGGGGCCAAGGGUUCAGCAUUGGAAGAAGUACACUGAGAAGAACAUGAAAAAGCUGAAAUUUGUCUGAAGGAGAGUGACAGGGCUGAAGGGGGACUUGAAACCACACACAUAAGGAAAGGCUGGAAGAACUAGAUGUUAGCCUGGAGAAGAGGACAUGUUCAGGGAACUUGAAGACUGACCUCAUGUAUUUGAAGAGCAACUGUGUGAGGAGUGGAACUUGUGCCAGUGGAUGGAAUUACUAGCCACUUGAGUCCUCAUGUGAUAACCGGGUAAAUACUUUCUGGACACCUACUGUUUGCAGGUGUUAAACUAGGCCUUGGUGGUACAAGGUUAAAAAUA